GCUUCCCCUGGUAGCACAAGAAGGAGCCCCUCCAACCCACAGUCUUUCCUGCCAAGCAUUGGCCAGUGGCAGAGCAGCUGGAUACCCAGAUUCCUGCAACCAGCAACAACACACGCAAUCCGGCAAACAGCAAACACAGAAGCAGGAACCACCAUCACCACCACCACCAGCAGAGGCAGCAGCAGCAGCAGCAGCAGCAGCAGCAGCAGCAGCAGCAGCCCCCUCAGUCUCUCAGCUCUGGCAUUAUACCCUCUGGAGAGUCUUCAGAAUUCCAACAUGUAAACUAUCUUUAGCUGGCAGAAUCACACCCCUCCUGGAGCACAGGACAAAUCAGUUAGUGUCUGUGAACAGUCUGAAGCAGCACCUGGGAUUAAAGGAAAAACAUACAUAACAUAAC